UUGGUGUCAACACGGCAGGUGGGGCUCU
rnacentral:piRNA from 1 species